rnacentral:misc_RNA from 1 species
CAUGAAGAACGCAGUGAAAUGCGAUAAGUAAUGUGAAUUGCAGAAUUCAGUGAAUCAUCGAAUCUUUGAACGCACAUUGCGCCCGCCAGUAUUCUGGCGGGCAUGCCUGUUCGAGCGUCAUUUCAACCCUCAGGCCCCCAGUGCCUGGUGUUGGGGAUCGGCCCAGCCUUCCUGUAAGGCCGCCGGCCCCGAAAUCUAGUGGCGGUCUCGCUGUAGUCCUCCUCUGCGUAGUAGCACAACCUCGCAGUUGGAACGCGGCGGUGGCCAUGCCGUUAAACACCCCACUUCUGAAAGUUGACCUCGGAUCAGGUAGGAAUACCCGCUGAACUUAAGCAUAUCAAUAAGCGGAGGA